AGCGGCGGACGGGUGAGUAACGCGUGGGUAACCGUGCCUCAUACAGGGGAGUAACAGUUGGAAACGGACUGCUAAUACCGCAUAAGCGCACAGUACCGCAUGGUACCGUGUGAAAAACUACCGGUGGUAUGAGAUGGACCCGCGUCUGAUUAGCUAGUUGGUGGGGUAACGGCCUACCAAGCCGACGAUCAGUAGCCGACCUGAGAGGGUGACCGGCCACAUUGGGACUGAGACACGGCCCAA
rnacentral:rRNA from 1 species